AUUUCUUUGGUGCAAUGGAUGACGCGUCUGACUACGAAUCGGAAGAUUCUAGGUUCGACUCCUGGCUGGUUCA